GAAGAGCGAAAUUUUCUAUUAUUUCCUCUCAUUGUUCUUUUCAUAGUCACUUCAAAUUCCCAGGCCUUCAUGGUGUUAAAUGAUGUUAAAACACGACUUUUCUCCCUGACUCUACGGAGUCUUUAAUUGUACUCAAGCUAAAUUUCAGGUGUAAGUUCAAACGAUGAACUUGGAGGACACAUCUCAUAGAACUGAGAGUCUAAUUUUUUUUUAGUUGCUGUAAUAAAAUAGCCGCUCACAUUUAUUUAAGCUUAGUAAAAGCCAUGCACGGUUCUAUGUUUUUACACGUGUUUCUUCAUGUAAUCCUUAUGAUAUUGAGCACAGUUGACAUUCCCUUUGUAAAGACAAGGAAACCGAGUGUCAGGAAGUUUAAUAUUUUCCAAGGCCACACACUGUGAGGAGGAGAGGAGACAGAACUCGGGCUUACUUAGCUCUAUAGCAGACACCGUCAAAGGUACCUUUAGAACCCCUGAGUGUGUGAAAACUAAGGGAAAUUAUUUCUAUCAUAAGAUACUCACUGUCUACCUAGAGGAGCUAGUUUUCACUUUUUUGAAAUCAUUUUGUUCUUAAAUUUAUUUAAAUCAUUAAGAAAUCUAAAAAUGCAAUUGUCUAAUUGUGCUAAUAUGAGCAGUCCUCACAAAAUAUGUUGGUGUGGUGAAAAUAUGUUUAGUUAUUCAGAAUUAAAUAUUCUGUAGUGACAAAUAUACAGAUCAAAUCAUAUUGAUAUAAAACGUAUUAACUAGUUAAUAUAACACAAUGAUAUCACAACCAUGUGUUUUUCACCUCAAAUAAAUUAUCAUCAUUUCAUAUUUAACAAAGCAAUAAAACCCUGUAACAGGCACCCACUGAGGGUUCUGUGGCACCAGUGACGGCUCUCAGCCAUCUCCUGAGCUUCAAGGUUGGAAACUGUGCUUCUCCAGCUGUCUGGGUAAUCUUAGGUUUAACUCCAGAACUUUCCUAGCAUGCUGCUCUUACCAGAGUGUAGCCACAAGGGCUGUGUGCCUAUUAGAUCGGGAGAGAAUCAGUGCUUCGGUUGCACUUAGAGCCCCAGCAAAGCAACAAUGGAGGUGGGGUGAGAUGGAGAGGCAGGUCUGGUCUGGUGUGUGGGGAAGGAAGGAGUUUGUCAGGCAAGGAGGCUUUCAAGAGGCCUGUGGGCCUCCUGGGAGCAACACUGUAAAAUGAAAAGAGAAUUCCUUAGACUGAGCUCUGCCUUUUGGGUGAGAUAUUGAACUCCUCUGGACAAACAUAAAUGAGAGACUUGAAUUUAUGAACUGGAAGAUCACUUUAAAUUCAAAAAUCUUAUCUAGCCAGGCGUGGUGGCUCAUGCCUGCACUCCUAGCACUUUGGGAGGCUGAGGUGGAUGGAUCACUUAAGAUCAGGAGUUCAACACCAACAUGGGCAACAGGACAAGACCCUGUCUCUGAAAAAAACACUACACAAAAUGAGCUGGGUAUGGUGGCAUGGGCCUGUAGUCCCAGCUACUUGGGGGGCUGACACGGGAGGCUCGCUUGAUCCUAGGAGGUCGAGGCUGCAGUGAGCCAAGAUCGCACCACUGCACUCCAGCCUGGGUGACAACGUGAGACUCUUUCUCGGAAAAAAAAAAAAAAAAAAAAAA
ensembl:lncRNA